UACAGAGGGUGCGAGCGUUAAUCGGAAUCACUGGGCGUAAAGCGUCUGUAGGUGGUCAAAUAAGUCAACUGUUAAAUCUUGAGGCUCAACCUCAAAAUCGCAGUCGAAACUAUUAGACUAGAGUAUAGUAGGGGUAAAGGGAAUUUCCAGUGGAGCGGUGAAAUGCGUAGAUAUUGGAAAGAACACCGAUGGCGAAGGCACUUUACUGGGCUAUUACUAACACUCAGAGACGAAAGCUAGGGUAGCAAAUGGG
rnacentral:rRNA from 1 species